CAUAGAGAGUAUGGGAGGAUGUGGGGAGUGGUUUGAGGUAAAAAGAGGAAGGGGGCAGAGUUUGCAGUGGUUUCAUUUCAUCCUGAGAGGGGACUGGGUGUCCCUGUGGCCCAAAGGUGGGGCCCUGAGACGUAACCCCACAUGAGCCAUAACCCAAGAUGACCUCAUCACCCUGUAUGUGCGUGACCCCAUGGCUGCACGUGACCCGCAGCACUGGGGGAACCAUACCCCCACAUGACCCUGUGACGCCCUGACUCUGCCUGCCCCCAUCACGCUGUGACCCAAUGCCAUGUGCCCCCAUGACUCUGGCAUCCCUGCCCCCACCUCACCCUGACCAUACAACCCCAUGGGACCAUGAACUCCAUGUCACCCAAUCUGAGCCUAUCACCCCGUAACUCUGACACUGCUGGACCAUCAUGUCACACACGACCCCACGUCCUCACAUCAUGUGGACGUAGAACCAGCUGUGUGUGGG
ensembl:lncRNA